AAUGAACGCUGGCGGCGUGCUUUACACAUGCAAGUCGAGCGAGGCCGGGUAGCAAUACCCGAGUCGAGCGGCGCACGGGUGAGUAACGCGUGGAUGAUCUGCCUUUGGGUGGGGGAUAACCCGGGGAAACUCGGGCUAAUACCGCAUAAAACCGCGAGGUCAAAGGGGGCCGCAAGGCUCUCGCCGAAAGAGGAGUCCGCGUCCGAUUAGCUAGUUGGCAGGGUAAUGGCCUACCAAGGCGACGAUCGGUAGCCGGCCUGAGAGGGUGAUCGGCCACACUGGAAAUGAGACACGGUCCAGACUCCUACGGGAGGCAGCAGUGGGGAAUUUUGCGCAAUGGGCGAAAGCCUGACGCAGCAACGCCGCGUGGAGGAUGAAGGUCUUCGGAUUGUAAACUCCUGUCAGUGGGGAAAAAGGGGAACGGGCUCAUACCCCGUUUCAUUGAUUGUACCCGCAGAGGAAGCCCCGGCUAACUCUGUGCCAGCCGCCGCGGUAAAAC
rnacentral:rRNA from 1 species